CAACGAUUUUGCCUCUUAGUCGGAAUCGCGUUUUGCACAAAGUAUACAUUGCCAAGUUCUGAAUAUCCGUAAUCCUGAAUGCUUAUCCAAGGACUACUAUCCACAGAUAACCGGGAACCAGAAAUUACAAAAUUGCGCUUUUCAGGAUCAAUUAUAUGCCUUUCUGCAAAACUAGAGUCUUUUGUAUUCACAUCAGAACCUGUUAAAGAUGGAACAACAACCGGAUACCCACUGUCUAACAUAUCCAACAUUUCAAACUUAUCAAGAAGCUCCAAAAACUCUUUUCUCCCUCCGGCAAUAAUCAUGUCCUUUUGUGAAACCGAAAAUGGUAAUUUAACCUUGUCCACUAAAUGCACCACUCCAUCU